AACGAACGCUGGCGGCAGGCCUAACACAUGCAAGUCGAGCGAGACCUUCGGGUCUAGCGGCGGACGGGUGAGUAACGCGUGGGAACGUACCCUUUUCUGCGGAAUAGCCUCGGGAAACUGAGAGUAAUACCGCAUACGCCCUUUUGGGGAAAGAUUUAUCGGAGAAGGAUCGGCCCGCGUUGGAUUAGGUAGUUGGUGGGGUAAUGGCCUACCAAGCCGACGAUCCAUAGCUGGUUUGAGAGGAUGAUCAGCCACACUGGGACUGAGACACGGCCCAGACUCCUACGGGAGGCAGCAGUGGGGAAUCUUAGACAAUGGGGGCAACCCUGAUCUAGCCAUGCCGCGUGAGUGAUGAAGGCCUUAGGGUUGUAAAGCUCUUUCAGCUGGGAAGAUAAUGACGGUACCAGCAGAAGAAGCCCCGGCUAACUCCGUGCCAGCAGCCGCGGUAAUAC
rnacentral:rRNA from 1 species